UACGAAGGGUGCAAGCGUUACUCGGAAUUACUGGGCGUAAAGCGUGCGUAGGUGGUUCGUUAAGUCUGAUGUGAAAGCCCUGGGCUCAACCUGGGAAUGGCAUUGGAAACUGGCGACCUAGAGUGCGGUAGAGGGUAGUGGAAUUCCCGGUGUAGCAGUGAAAUGCGUAGAGAUCGGGAGGAACAUCCGUGGCGAAGGCGACUACCUGGACCAGCACUGACACUGAGGCACGAAAGCGUGGGAAGCAAACAGG
rnacentral:rRNA from 1 species